GAUCAUGGCUCAGGAUGAACGCUGGCGGCGUGCCUAACACAUGCAAGUCGAACGAAGCAAUUAAAGGAAGUUUUCGGAUGGAAUUUGAUUGACUGAGUGGCGGACGGGUGAGUAACGCGUGGAUAACCUGCCUCACACUGGGGGAUAACAGUUAGAAAUGACUGCUAAUACCGCAUAAGCGCACAGUGCCGCAUGGUACGGUGUGAAAAACUCCGGUGGUGUGAGAUGGA
rnacentral:rRNA from 1 species